rnacentral:lncRNA from 1 species
AGAUUUGGAAGGAGACUAGACAGGACUCAGUGAUUAACUGGAAGCAAGAGUUGUAGAAGUUCCAGUUUGUGGAACUGGGUCUGUGGUGAUCUUGGUACCUGACAGAGUGAACCUGGAGGAGAAGGUUUGGAGCAAGCUGGUAGGUCCCUUUACACAUGCUGCUUGCUCCUGGGUUCCUCUGUGAUCCUAUGCCUCAUCUUCUCUGCAUAACAAGGCACUUGCCUCCUACAAGAUCUGUUUUAUAAAUUCCUCCUCUUCUGGGAAGCCUAUCUGGGUUUCGCCCUCUGUUGGUUCUGGUUAGAUGAUUAUGAGUGUGUGAAGUCAGUAUCUGUUUACAGGUAUCUCUUCUGCAGCUUGAGCUUCUCCAAGCAAGGAUGUGUUUUAUUCCAUGCUGUGUCCCUCACACAGCACCUGGGACACAGGAGGUACACAGUAAGUGCUUGUUAAAGAGAUGAUUUAUGGCCAGGUGUGGUGGCUUAACCCUGUAAUCCCAGCACUUUGGGAGGCCGGGGCGGGUGGAUCACCUGAGGUCAGGAGUUCGAGACCGGCCUGACUAACAUGGUGAAAGCCCGUCUGUACUAGCUCUGUGACAUUGGAAAUGAUAUUUAACCUCUCUGAGCUUGGUUUCUUUCAACUACAAAGUGCAGAUAAAGAAAUAUAUACUUCUUUCAUCUGUUGCAUGAGAUAAUUUUAAAAAAGAAAGAAAUAUUUACUUCUUGGCUGGGCACAGUGGCUCAUACUUGUAGUCCCAGAACUUUGGGAGGCUGAGGCAGGAGGAUCACUUGAGCCCAGGAGUUCAAGACCAGCCUGGACAACAUGGUGAGACCCUGCCAUCUCUAUAAAAAAUACCAAAAAAAAUAGCGAGACAUGGUGGCACAGGCCUGUAGUCCUAGCUACACAGAAGGCUGAGAUCGGAGGAUGACUUGAGCCCAGGAGGUCGAGGCUUCAGCGAGCCAUGAUUGCAUCACUGCACUCUAUCCUGGGUGACCUUGUCUCAAAAAAAAAAAAGAAAGAAAAAGAAAUACGUACUUCUUUCAGGAUUAUCGUGAUGUUAAAUAAAGUGCUUACAGUAUGGAAAAGUACCAAGUAUUGGGCCAGGCCUACAGUAGCUCCUCAAAAAUGCCAGGUCCUUCUGCCUUCCAGUCACCACGAGUAAAAGGCUAGGCUGAGAUUCAUUCAUUGCCUCACCAUGGAUGCCACCAUGAGUCUAACUCUGCUGUCUCAGCUCUGCAAACACAGAUGAUAGAUGGGCAUCUCAUCUGAACAUCAUUAGGUCCAGGGAACACUUGUCCAUGCCACCCUGACUGACUUUAAUCCAGUGGGUGUUUGUUGAGUGUCUGCUACCUGCAACACCAGCCAGGUGGCUUGAUAUGGUAAAGACGCAAGAAAUGUUAGCUUAACAUAUUGAUGCAAGCUACUGUAGUUGGCCCUGGGGAGAAGGGAAGUAUAAAAAUGAACAAAGUGUAGUCUUCAUCUCCUUGAGGCUUACAAUCCGACAGGACAAGUAAUUAUUAAUCUGUGAAUUUAUAAUGGGCAUGAACUUACCAACCACUGGAAUGAUUAGGUCAGCUGGCCGGAACACUACUUUUAAAAGUGAAGUCCAUUAAUAAUCAAAAGAUUACUGGCUGAAAGUGAAGUGAAGGCAAAAGGAGUUGGAUGGUCUGAGAGGACCUUUUACCCCAUCGAUAGUAGUUUUUACAUAGCAGUAAUACUAAAGCUUAAUCUUUGGUGGGUUGUUGUUCUCUCUGGAGAGAUACUUGGCCUGCCACAAAAGGAGGAGCUGCUUCUCUGGCCAGGCUGGCCAGGCACCCGGCCCUCCCCUCUCUGAACAGGAUUGCCUACUCUGUCCUCCGACUCCCAGAGCUUUUCACUGACACCUGGGGACUGCUGGGUCCCUCCUUCUCUCCUAGCCUGCCCAGGGCCACCCCAAGCCUGCAGUAGAUUUUCAUUUAUCUCUGUAAGAACGUUUACAAGGACAUGGAGCAAAUUAGCAUCACACAAAUGACGAUGCUGCAAAUGAGCGGUGUACAGGGUUGGCGGGUGUUGCAGGCAGGUUUCCUGUCGUUGGGUGCUUUUGAGAGAGACGGAGGACUGAAAAGAUAGGGGUUUGGAGGAGGAGAGGGUGUGUGUGUGUGUGUGUGUGUGGAGAGAGAGCCUGCAAGAGAAUUAGCACGCACCUCGUGGAUCUUAGUAAUUGUUUUAAAGCCAAAUAAAACUGUUUCUUGAAUAAACCAAUACAUUUCUGAAGUUGAAAAGAAUCCCAAAGGAAACGAAUGAACAUCCUUGCAGCUUGAUUUUCCAAAAAAAAAAAAAAAAAGGCGAGAACCGAAGUUUGGAGGUAGACGAGCAGGCGAGCGGUUUGCCCGGGCGCCCGCCGCCGCCGCCGCCGCCGCCCCUGUUGCGAUGGCGCAGAAACCCCGUUGACAAGGCACUGCUUUUUCAUGACGGUGUGAAUCACAUUUUCUUUCUUCUCGGCAAAAUGGACCCCGCGUCUGGGGAGGGGGAGGGGAGAGGGUGGGGAGGGAGGCGGCGGAGACGGGGUUUAUUUUUCAUCCUGGCUUCCCCAUUCCCGCCGCAUCUGCGGGCGGCCGCGGCGAGGAGAGCAGGUCCGGGGUGCGGCGGGGAGAGCUCGGGGCAGGCGAGUCGCCCCGGCCCCGUUCCCGCUCCCGCUCCGAGCCCGCGGCGGCGGCGCGCACCUGCCGCGGGACUGCCCCUUCCCAGCCGCCUCGCUGCCUUUUCGAAGCACCGCCGAGGAUCCGCGGCCGCGUCCGGCCGAGCCCCCAGCCGCGCGGAGGACCGGCGGCCCAGCCGGGCGUCUCCUGCGAGGCCCGCGCUGUUCGCCGCGCCGGCCAGAAGAGAUGUGCGGCUGGGACGGCGCAUUUUUGGCCGAGUGCGCGCGGGCGUUAUGCUGUUCGCGCCCCCCCGAGUCGCCCCAAAUGCGGGAUAUUGGGUGGGGGGGUGCGGUUGGAAGGCGCUAAGAUGGCGCUGGGCCUGGCCUGUCGCCAGGGCUGGUGGCGCAGUUGCUCGGCGGGCGCCAUCUUUCUCGCGGCGCGGGCGGCGCCCUCCGAGGACAUCUCGAUGACCAGGGCGCCGCGAGGCCCGGGGCUAGCGGGAGCCGAGAGCAGGGUGCUGAAUUCUGGAGAUGGGACUGGGGUCGCGCGGCCUUCUCCUUCCCCACGCCCCCAGACCCAAAAGACGAGGCCGCCGGCUCGGAGCGGGAAGGGCUGGGGCCAGCUUCUUCCUCCUAACCACUUGUUUGUGAUGGAAGAAGGGGGCUGGGGGUCGAGCCUCGCGGCUGAUGGGUUCCCUCCCUGACCCCGCACCCCCACUCCUCCCAGUCGAAAUUGGAGGUGAGGCGCUCCUGCCAUUUUCUCUCCUGCGGUCUGAGAGUGGACGUCUUUGUCUUCUCUGGCCCGGCGUGGGGGCAGGGCAUUGAGCCUUUUCCUUAAUUCUUCAGUUAUUGAAAGUAGAGUCCAACCAGGUUACAAAACUAAAAAAAAGAGUCCAGGACAUUGUCUGUCUGCCUUCCGGUAGCAUGGUUCUCUGUGGGUACCCUACGCUUCGUUUCUUAAACUUUUACAUUAUUAUUGAAAAGAGGAGGGGAAAGGUCUAUAAAGCUCUGAUCUCUCUAGAAGUCCACAUACAUGGAAAGUAAAUAGUUAAUUUCUAGUGUAGAAAAAUAACACCGUGGUGCCAGUAGGUGUGUCCUUGUGUUUAUAAAUAUACAUAGUGGAUGUUUUAGACCAUUUAAUGAGACCUAUUAUAUAUUGAAUACCUGCUGUAUGCCAGGAACUGUGCCUGAUGCUUUGUAUAAUUUCUAUUAUAUCAGCCCAGAAAUAGUGAUUUUAUGAUCUGUCUACCGGGGAAUGAACUAACGUUCAUAGAAGUAUAGUAAUUGUUCGAGGUCUUGCAGUUUUAAGUAGUAAAGUUGCCAUUGGAUCACAAAAGCUGUAUUCUUCCCCCUACACCUAUGGUUUCCAAAUGUGAGCAUCAGAAUUAAUUUGGGAGAUGUUUUUAAAUGGUGAUUCCAGUGACACAGACACACGUUUGGACUGUCUUGUACUAUGCUAUGCACUGUUCUGCUCUUUUUUGAAUUGGAACAUGAGAAUUGAGGUCCAUGUAAUUUUGAGUUUCAGUAGUUUUUUGCUCACAUUAGUCUCAUUUUUGUUUUUCCUCUUGUAGCUGCCAUUUAUCAAAUCGAAAUUAUUUCCUCAGAGAAAAAGGUUUAGGUAUCCUAAGACUUUAAAAUCUCAGUACGUUUUUUUUUAAAGUAUGUUGUCUCAUUCUAUUGAGAAGUUAUACAACAUACAGGCUUCUAGGUCUAGCCAGGCCAUCUAGUUUAGUCAAGACAGCUGUGUAACAAACGUAGCCUUGAGGCCUGGCACGGUGGCUCAUGCCUGUAAUCCCAGCACUUUUGAGGCUGAGGCGGGCGGAUUACCUGAAGUCAGGAGUUAGAGACCAGCCUGUCCAACGUGGUGAAACCCCGUCUGUACUAAAAAUACAAAAAAGCUAGCCGAGUGUGGUGGCAGGUGCCUGUAAUCCCAGCUACUUGGGAGGCUGAGGCGAGAGAAUCACUUGAACUGGGGAGGCAGAGGUUGCAGUGGCCCGAGACCCCACCAUUGCACUCCAGUCCGGGAAACAAGAACGAAACUCCCAUCUCAAAAAAAAAACACAGGUCAGGAAGAAGCAUCUAGAGCAGGUGAUGAAUAGAUGACCUUACUAAAAUGAGAAAGAACCAAGUCAGUGAUGAAAUCAUUAAUUUCUCUGGAUUAAGGAUCAUGGAUUUUAUUUUGUGCUUUCUCUUGUUGAUUCUUCUCAAAUCGUUGUGUUUAGUAAUUGCUAGGGAGAGUAGUUUAAAACUUAGAUUUUUGAUGCAGAUGUCAGAAUUAUACCAUCUUUGCAUAUGUCCACAUUGGAAAGUUUUUGUAAGGAGCAUUUGUUGGAUACCUCUGUGCAGUCUGUGUCCAGUCUAGACCACUAGGUGGGUGGAGUGACUUCCAGUUUUUGAAGGGAAGUCACUUCUGGUUUUUCUCCCCUUGUUUUUUAUGGUAAAUGCCAAAGUAAUUAUAAUCUUUGACUAGACUAAAAUCCAAUAAAGCUUGAAAGGAGGGGGAAAUCUAAAACUGCUUAGAGGGAAACAGUAGCUUCUUUAACCUUGUUGGAAUUUUAAGACCGGCAAGAUCUCUGCACUCAUGAAAUUUACAGUAUAGUGGGCAGUAACUCUAUAGAGAAAUAAAGGGUUUUCCCAAUCCUGGAAAAAAAUGGUUAAAAUUGUAAAUCUUACAUAUAUUUUACCAUAGUAAAAAAUGAAUUAGGCUGGGCCCAUGGCUCACACCUACAAUCCCAGCACUUUGGGAGGCUGAGGCAGGCAAAUCGUUUGAGGCCAGGAGUUCAAAACCAGCCUGGCCAACAUGGCAAAACUCAUCUCUACUAAAAAUACAAAGAAAAUAGCCAGGCAUGGUGGCACACACCUGUAAUCCCAGCUACUCAGGAGGCUGAGGCAUGAGAAUUGCUUGAACCUGGAAGGCAGACAUUGGAGUGAGCUGAGAUCUUCCCACUGCACUCCAGCCUGGGUGACAUAGCUAGACUGUCUCAAAAAAAAAAAAAAAAAUAAGCAUUGAGUUUCAUUUUUUGUUUGUUUUUGAGACAGGUUCUCACUGUUACCCAGCCUGGAGUGCAGUGGUACAAUUGUAGCUCACUGCAGCCUGGACCUCCUGGGAUCAAGGGAUUCCCCCAACCUCAGCCUCCCAAGUAGCUGGGACUAUAGAAAUGCAACACCAUGCCCAGAUAAUUUAAUUUUUUUUUGACAGGGGUUUCUCUUUGUCACCCAGGCUGGCCUCAAACUCCUGGGCUCAAGCAGUCUUCCCACCUUUCCCUCCCAAAGUGCUGGGAUUACAGGCGUGAGCCACUGCAUCCUGCCGAGAAAAUCAUUUUUUAUUUAAAUAAUGUCAAAUGGAAGUAUGUAGCACCCCCCCCCCACCUUCUUUUCCCCUUUCUUUCCUCUUUGAGUCUGCUGUCAUUCCCUUUUUCAUGAGUUUUCUCUGCUCCCCAAAUAGGCUAAACAAUAACCGUAAAGUGAGAUUAGAGAAAAUAAGAAUGGAGUAGAUGAUGGAAUUCAAAAUAGCUGUCUACAUUCUUCACUGAGAAAGAUAGCUUUGAGUUAAAGGUGAGAGGAGCAAAUCUGGGGAAAAACGGGUGAAACGGCAUGAUUUAAGUAGCAUACCAGAUGCGUUUCUGCAUGGCAUGGCUCUUGCUUGAUGAAUAAUGUUCUGUAUAGUAGAAGAGGAAAAUACAGUGAGUGAAGGAGCUGGCAGAAGGUGGGCUGGGGGAGUUGGGGAAGAGUGAAAUGAGUAUGGAGAGGUGAGAGAGCUGACUGCAAAGGCAUGUGGGGUGUGGAUUUUAAAAGGAAAGCCCUGAGGUGGAAAUCACUAACAUGGUGCCUGGCUACAAGCAGAGGGAGCUCAGGACUUGACUGUGCUGGGGGUGGCCUGCCCUUUUGUAGUGCAGUUGAGGAGAGCUCAGGGGCUGUCAGAAUGCUGUGUGGGAAGGUGGAGGAUGAAAGAGGACCUGGGAGCAGCAACUUUGUUCUGGUUUGUUGUUUUCUCUUCCCUACCUCGUAUGUACUCCCACUCAGGAAAAGAUCCUGAGACCUCUCUGUACCAGAUCCUCUUAUACCCAGGUUCUCCUUAAUCCCAAUCAACUUUAAUCUAUAAAGUUACGAUUUGUUUACUUAUAAAUUUAUUUUUAAUAAAGUUGUGAAACCGAACAAAACGUCAUAUUAUUUCACAAAAAGCCCAGCGAUUUCACCUGAAGAAGCUUGGGAACUCCUGCCAAAAAUUGUAGCACUUCUCACAUUGCAAUG